rnacentral:misc_RNA from 1 species
GGGCAGAGGCAGUAUUACGCGAUACCCACUAUGUGAUCCAGGGACAGAGGCAGUAUUACGCGAUAUCCCUUGGGCAGAGGCAGUAUUACGCUUGUCUCAAAUAACAAAACGGUCAUUUUGUCACAUCGUGCCAGCAACGUGCAGGUGCCAUCGCACGUGUACAGCUCCGCACCACACCGCACCCAUAUACGGAGCCACCACACGCAUGACUACGCCGACACGCGUGACCACACGUAAAGGCAUCUCACAUACCAC